GACGAACGCUGGCGGCGUGCUUAACACAUGCAAGUCGAACGGAAAGGCCUGCUUUCCCUUGUGGAUUGCGGGUACUCGAGUGGCGAACGGGUGAGUAACACGUGAGUGAUCUGCCCCCAACUUGGGUAUAAGCCUGGGAAACUGGGUCUAAUUCCCGAUAGGACUGCAGGGUGGUGCCUGUGGUGGAAAACGAUGUUCUAGUGGUUGGGGAUGAGCGCGCGGCCUAUGAGCUUGUUGGUGGGGUAAUGGCCUACCAAGGCGGCGACGGGUAGCCGGCGUGAGGGGGCGGACCUGCCCGGUGGGACUGCGAUACGGCCCCGACUCCUACGGGCGGCAGCAGUGGGGAAGAUUGCACGAUGGACAGAGGCCUGGUGGAGCGACGCCGAGUGGGGGAUGCCGGGCUUCGGGUUGUAAACUCCUUUCGGCCGCGAGGAAGCCACCUGGUUGGAAGGGUAGUGACGGUAGUGGUAGAAGAAGCACCGGCUAACUACGUG
rnacentral:rRNA from 1 species